CUCCAAGGCUAAAUACUCCUGACUGACCGAUAGUGAACCAGUACCGUGAGGGAAAGGCGAAAAGAACCCCGGCGAGGGGAGUGAAAAAGAACCUGAAACCGUGUACGUACAAGCAGUGGGAGCACAGGUUUACCUGUGUGACUGCGUACCUUUUGUAUAAUGGGUCAGCGACUUAUAUUCUGUAGCAAGGUUAACCGAAUAGGGGAGCCGGAGGGAAACCGAGUCUUAAUUGGGCGUUAAGUUGCAGGGUAUAGACCCGAAACCCGGUGAUCUAGCCAUGGGCAGGUUGAAGGUUGGGUAACACUAACUGGAGGACCGAACCGACUAAUGUUGAAAAAUUAGCGGAUGACCUGUGGCUGGGGGUGAAAGGCCAAUCAAACCGGGAGAUAGCUGGUUCUCCCCGAAAGCUAUUUAGGUAGCGCCUCGUGAAUUCAUCUCCGGGGGUAGAGCACUGUUUCGGCUAGGGGGCCAUCCCGGCUUACCAACCCGAUGCAAACUGCGAAUACCGGAGAAUGUUAUCACGGGAGACACACGGCGGGUGCUAACGUCCGUCGUGAAGAGGGAAACAACCCAGACCGCCAGCUAAGGUCCCAAAGUCAUGGUUAAGUGGGAAACGAUGUGGGAAGGCCCAGACAGCCAGGAUGUUGGCUUAGAAGCAGCCAUCAUUUAAAGAAAGCGUAAUAGCUCACUGGUCGAGUCGGCCUGCGCGGAAGAUGUAACGGGGCUAAACCAUGCACCGAAGCUGCGGCAGCGACGCUGAUGCGUUGUUGGGUAGGGGAGCGUUCUGUAAGCCUGCGAAGGUGGCCUGUGAGGGUUGCUGGAGGUAUCAGAAGUGCGAAUGCUGACAUAAGUAACGAUAAAGCGGGUGAAAAGCCCGCUCGCCGGAAGACCAAGGGUUCCUGUCCAACGUUAAUCGGGGCAGGGUGAGUCGACCCCUAAGGCGAGGCCGAAAGGCGUAGUCGAUGGGAAACGGGUUAAUAUUCCCGUACUUGGUGUUACUGCGAAGGGGGGACGGAGAAGGCUAUGUUGGCCGGGCGACGGUUGUCCCGGUUUAAGCGUGUAGGUGUGUGUUCCAGGUAAAUCCGGUUCACUUUAACACUGAGGCGUGAUGACGAGGCACUACGGUGCUGAAGCAACAAAUGCCCUGCUUCCAGGAAAAGCCUCUAAGCAUCAGGUAACAUCAAAUCGUACCCCAAACCGACACAGGUGGUCAGGUAGAGAAUACCAAGGCGCUUGAGAGAACUCGGGUGAAGGAACUAGGCAAAAUGGUGCCGUAACUUCGGGAGAAGGCACGCUGACACGUAGGUGAAGUGAUUUACUCAUGGAGCUGAAGUCAGUCGAAGAUACCAGCUGGCUGCAACUGUUUAUUAAAAACACAGCACUGUGCAAACACGAAAGUGGACGUAUACGGUGUGACGCCUGCCCGGUGCCGGAAGGUUAAUUGAUGGGGUCAGCGCAAGCGAAGCUCCUGAUCGAAGCCCCGGUAAACGGCGGCCGUAACUAUAACGGUCCUAAGGUAGCGAAAUUCCUUGUCGGGUAAGUUCCGACCUGCACGAAUGGCGUAAUGAUGGCCAGGCUGUCUCCACCCGAGACUCAGUGAAAUUGAACUCGCUGUGAAGAUGCAGUGUACCCGCGGCAAGACGGAAAGACCCCGUGAACCUUUACUAUAGCUUGACACUGAACAUUGAGCCUUGAUGUGUAGGAUAGGUGGGAGGCUUUGAAGUGUGGACGCCAGUCUGCAUGGAGCCGACCUUGAAAUACCACCCUUUAAUGUUUGAUGUUCUAACGUGGACCCGUGAUCCGGGUUGCGGACAGUGUCUGGUGGGUAGUUUGACUGGGGCGGUCUCCUCCUAAAGAGUAACGGAGGAGCACGAAGGUUGGCUAAUCCUGGUCGGACAUCAGGAGGUUAGUGCAAUGGCAUAAGCCAGCUUGACUGCGAGCGUGACGGCGCGAGCAGGUGCGAAAGCAGGUCAUAGUGAUCCGGUGGUUCUGAAUGGAAGGGCCAUCGCUCAACGGAUAAAAGGUACUCCGGGGAUAACAGGCUGAUACCGCCCAAGAGUUCAUAUCGACGGCGGUGUUUGGCACCUCGAUGUCGGCUCAUCACAUCCUGGGGCUGAAGUAGGUCCCAAGGGUAUGGCUGUUCGCCAUUUAAAGUGGUACGCGAGCUGGGUUUAGAACGUCGUGAGACAGUUCGGUCCCUAUCUGCCGUGGGCGCUGGAGAACUGAGGGGGGCUGCUCCUAGUACGAGAGGACCGGAGUGGACGCAUCACUGGUGUUCGGGUUGUCAUGCCAAUGGCACUGCCCGGUAGCUAAAUGCGGAAGAGAUAAGUGCUGAAAGCAUCUAAGCACGAAACUUGCCCCGA
rnacentral:rRNA from 1 species